UACGUAGGGGGCAAGCGUUGUCCGGAAUCAUUGGGCGUAAAGCGCGCGUAGGCGGCCCGGUAAGUCCGUUGUAAAAGUCAAAGGCUCAACCUUUGAAAGCCGAUGGAUACUGCCGGGCUAGAAUCCGGAAGAGGCGAGUGGAAUUCCUGGUGUAGCGGUGGAAUGCGCAGAUAUCAGGAGGAACACCAACAGCGAAGGCAGCUCGCUGGGACGGUAUUGACGCUGAGACGCGAAAGCGUGGGGAGCAAACAGG
rnacentral:rRNA from 1 species